rnacentral:rRNA from 1 species
CCUACGGGUGGCAGCAGUGGGGAAUAUUGGACAAUGGGCGAAAGCCUGAUCCAGCAAUGCCGCGUGAGUGAUGAAGGCCUUAGGGUUGUAAAGCUCUUUUACCCGGGAUGAUAAUGACAGUAGCCGAAGAAGAAGGACCGGCUAAUUCCGUGCCAGCAGCCGCGGUAAUACGGAAGGUCCUAGCGUUGUUCGGAAUUACUGGGCGUAAAGCGCAUGUAGGCGGAACAAAAAGUUAGAAGUGAAAUCCCUGGGCUCAACCUAGGAAUUGCUUUUAAAACUUUUGUUCUGGAAUUCAGGAGAGGAAAAUGGAAUUUCCAGUGUAGAGAUGAAAUUCGUAGAUAUUGGAAGGAACACCAGUGGCGAAGGCGAUUUUCUGGACUGAUAUUGACGCUGAGAUGCGAAGGCAUGGGUAGCAAACGGGAUUAGAUACCCUUGUAGUC